rnacentral:rRNA from 1 species
AGAGUUUGGUUAGGGCUCAGAUUGAACGCUGGCGGCAGGCCUAACACAUGCAAGUCGAGCGGCAGCGGGAAGUAGCUUGCUACUUUGCCGGCGAGCGGCGGACGGGUGAGUAAUGUCUGGGAAACUGCCUGAUGGAGGGGGAUAACUACUGGAAACGGUAGCUAAUACCGCAUGACCUCGCAAGAGCAAAGUGGGGGACCUUCGGGCCUCACGCCAUCGGAUGUGCCCAGAUGGGAUUAGCUAGUAGGUGAGGUAAUGGCUCACCUAGGCGACGAUCCCUAGCUGGUCUGAGAGGAUGACCAGCCACACUGGAACUGAGACACGGUCCAGACUCCUACGGGAGGCAGCAGUGGGGAAUAUUGCACAAUGGGCGCAAGCCUGAUGCAGCCAUGCCGCGUGUGUGAAGAAGGCCUUAGGGUUGUAAAGCACUUUCAGCGAGGAGGAAGGGUUCAGUAUUAAUAGCACUGAACAUUGACGUUACUCGCAGAAGAAGCACCGGCUAACUCCGUGCCAGCAGCCGCGGUAAUACGGAGGGUGCAAGCGUUAAUCGGAAUUACUGGGCGUAAAGCGCACGCAGGCGGUUUGUUAAGUCAGAUGUGAAAUCCCCGAGCUUAACUUGGGAACUGCAUGUG